GGCGUGCCUAAUAAUGCAACGUCGAGCGGACAGAUGGGAGCUUGCUCCCUGAUGUUAGCGGCGGACGGGUGAGUAACACGUGGGUAACCUGCCUGUAAGACUGGGAUAACUCCGGGAAACCGGGGCUAAUACCGGAUGGUUGUUUGAACCGCAUGGUUCAAACAUAAAAGGUGGCUUCGGCUACCACUUACAGAUGGACCCGCGGCGCAUUAGCUAGUUGGUGAGGUAACGGCUCACCAAGGCAACGAUGCGUAGCCGACCUGAGAGGGUGAUCGGCCACACUGGGACUGAGACACGGCCCAGACUCCUACGGGAGGCAGCAGUAGGGAAUCUUCCGCAAUGGACGAAAGUCUGACGGAGCAACGCCGCGUGAGUGAUGAAGGUUUUCGGAUCGUAAAGCUCUGUUGUUAGGGAAGAACAAGUACCGUUCGAAUAGGGCGGUACCUUGACGGUACCUAACCAGAAAGCCACGGCUAACUACGUGCCAGCAGCCGCGGUAAUACGUAGGUGGCAAGCGUUGUCCGGAAUUAUUGGGCGUAAAGGGCUCGCAGGCGGUUUCUUAAGUCUGAUGUGAAAGCCCCCGGCUCAACCGGGGAGGGUCAUUGGAAACUGGGGAACUUGAGUGCAGAAGAGGAGAGUGGAAUUCCACGUGUAGCGGUGAAAUGCGUAGAGAUGUGGAGGAACACCAGUGGCGAAGGCGACUCUCUGGUCUGUAACUGACGCUGAGGAGCGAAAGCGUGGGGAGC
rnacentral:rRNA from 1 species